rnacentral:rRNA from 1 species
UGGCGGCGUUGCUUAACACAUGCAAGUCGAACGGAGUUUACAUGUGAGCGGAGGGUGCUUGCACUUGACAAUCUUUUGUAAACUUAGUGGCGGACGGUGAGUAACGCGUGGGUAACCUGCCGUAUACAGGGGGACAACAGUUGGAAACGACUGCUAAUACCGCAUAAGCGCACAGCAUCGCAUGAUGCAGUGUGAAAAACUCCGGUGGUAUACGAUGGACCCGCGUCUGAUUAGAUAGUUGGUGGGGUAAUGGCCUACCAAGUCGACGAUCAGUAGCCGGACUGAGAGGUUGAACGGCCACAUUGGGACUGAGAUACGGCCCAGACUCCUACGGGAGGCAGCAGUCGGGAAUAUUGCACAAUGGAGGAAACUCUGAUGCAGUGACGCCGCGUGCAGGAAGAAGGUUUUCGGAUUGUAAACUGCUUUAGAUAGGGAAGAAAAAAGACUGUACCUAUAGAAUAAGCUCCGGCUAACUACGUG